AUUGAACGCUGGCGGCAUGCUUUACACAUGCAAGUCGAACGGUAACAGGCCGCAAGGUGCUGACGAGUGGCGAACGGGUGAGUAAUGCAUCGGAACGUGCCCAGUCGUGGGGGAUAACGCAGCGAAAGCUGCGCUAAUACCGCAUACGAUCUAUGGAUGAAAGCGGGGGACCGAAAGGCCCCGCGCGAUUGGAGCGGCCGAUGUCAGAUUAGGUAGUUGGUGGGGUAAAGGCUCACCAAGCCAACGAUCUGUAGCUGGUCUGAGAGGACGACCAGCCACACUGGGACUGAGACACGGCCAGACUCCGACGGGAGGCAGCAGUGGGGAAUUUUGGACAAUGGGCGCAAGCCUGAUCCAGCAAUGCCGCGUGCAGGAAGAAGGCCUUCGGGUUGUAAACUGCUUUUGUACGGAACGAAAAGGCUCUGGUUAAUACCUGGGGCUCAUGACGGUACCGUAAGAAUAAGCACCGGCUAACUACGUGCCAGCAGCCGCAGUAAAAC
rnacentral:rRNA from 1 species